rnacentral:rRNA from 1 species
AACGAACGCUGGCGGCGUGGAUAAGACAUGCAAGUCGAACGCCCUUUUCAGGGUAGCAAUAUUCUGGAGAGGGAGUGGCGUAAGGGUGCGUAACACGUGGGUAAUUUGCCGCGAAGUUGGGAAUAACUCGCUGAAAGGCGAGCUAAUGCCGAAUGUGGUGUUUGAGGGACAUCCCUUGACCACUAAAGUUGGGGACCGUAAGGCCUGACGCUUCGCGAUAAGCCCGCGGCCUAUCAGCUAGUUGGUGAGGUAACGGCUCACCAAGGCUAAGACGGGUAGCUGGUCUGAGAGGACGACCAGCCACACUGGAACUGAGACACGGUCCAGACACCUACGGGAGGCUG